UGACCUCAAAUCAGGUAGGAUUACCCGCUGAACUUAAGCAUAUCAAUAAG
rnacentral:rRNA from 2 species